rfam:Fistulina hepatica ATCC 64428 unplaced genomic scaffold FISHEscaffold_272, whole genome shotgun sequence.
GCCCGCCUAGCUCAAUCGGAUAGAGCGUCAGACUUUUAAGCAUGGUUGGUGCAUCUGAAGGCUGCGAGUUCGACCCUCGCGGUGGGCU